AGUUGAAGACAAAGUGGCGAACGGGUGCGUAACGCGUGGGAAUCUGCCAAACAGUUUGGGCCGAAUCCCAAAGAAACGAAAGCAAAAAAGCUUCGAUAAAGCUAAAAAGCGCUGUUUGAUGAGCCUGCGUAGUAUUAGGUAGCUGGUUGGGUAAAGGCUGACCAAGCCGCAGGUGCUUAGCUGAUCUUUUCGGACGAUCAGCCACACUGGGACUGAGACACGGCCCAGACUCCGUAGGGAGGCAGCAGUGGGGAAUAUUGGACAAUGGGCGAAAGCCCGAUCCAGCAAUAUCGCGUGAGUGAGUG
rnacentral:rRNA from 1 species